rnacentral:rRNA from 1 species
UACGAAGGGGGCUAGCGUUACUCGGAAUUACUGGGCGUAAAGCGUGCGUAGGCGGCUUGGUAAGUUGGAAGUGAAAGCCUGGGGCUCAACCUCAGAAUUGCUUUCAAAACUGCCUGGCUAGAGUAUCAGAGAGGAUAGCGGAAUUCCUAGUGUAGAGGUGAAAUUCGUAGAUAUUAGGAGGAACACCGGAGGCGAAAGCGGUUAUCUGGCUGAAAACUGACGCUGUUGCACGAAAGCGUGGGGAGCAAACAGG